CCUAGCAUUGCCUACAGCACAACCACCAACACAUUCAGCCCCAGGAUAUGUGGCCAAUUCGCAAGAAUUAGCCGACAAAGAACACACGAACAAUUCCGGUUCGGUUUGCCCGUGUUUUUACACGCCUAAAUUUUUACUUCAAUAUACAUACAAUUUUUUUCCUCCCAAACUUUCCUUUCACACUUCAAUUCAAUGCCAAUCACCCACUUUCAAAUUCGCAGAUCCAUUUGAAAUCCCUUUCUUCAAUUUCCACCAUCCGGUUUUCGCACUUGUUAUCUGCUUCCAUCUCCCUCAGGAACAAUCGGGUCCGGUGCUUUCUUCCAUUUGGCUUUGGUUCACAUCAAGAUGGAGAUUUCGGAAGUGAAGAAUGCAGAUUGUUCGCAAUGCAUGCGAGUCGCAGUUAACAUCCAGCCUUUGAUUACGUCCGAGCUCCUACUCGGCUAUACGGAUUGCAUUUCCGUCGUUCCCAACGAACCUUGGGUGCAAAUCGGGUCCCAUUCAUUCACCUAUGAUUAUGUUUAUGGCGGCAUGGGCUCGCCUUGUUCUGCUCUCUAUAAUGAUUGUGUUGCUCCUCUUGUUGAUGCGCUAUUCCAUGGAUACAAUGUCACAAUUCUUGCAUAUGGCCAGGUUUAACUUCUAUAUAUCUAGCAUUUUUGGCCUUUUGUUCCUUUUGUUUGGUUAAAGAGUCGCAGCACUCAUUCAUUUUUCGUUACACCUCGAUAUACAUAUUGACUUUAUUAUUUUGUUUGUUAUUUAAGAUGGGAUCUGGGAAAAUGUACACGAUGGGGACUAACUAUACAGGGGAAGAAAGUAAUGGUGGAAUUAUACCUAAAGCAAUGGAAAGUAUAUUCCGAAGCGUUGAGGCGAUGAAAGAUUCCACGAAAUUUUUUAUCAAAGUAUCAUUCAUUGAGGUAGCAGAUGAUUUUGG